rnacentral:rRNA from 1 species
AUUGAACGCUGGCGGCAUGCCUUACACAUGCAAGUCGAACGGUAACGCGGGGCAACCUGGCGACGAGUGGCGAACGGGUGAGUAACGCAUCGGAACGUGCCCAAUCGUGGGGGAUAAUGUAGAGAAAUUUACGCUAAUACCGCAUGAGAUCUAAGGAUGAAAGCAGGGGAUCGCAAGACCUUGCGCGAUUGGAGCGGCUGAUGUCAGAUUAGGUAGUUGGUGGGGUAAAGGCCCACCAAGCCGACGAUCUGUAGCUGGUUUGAGAGAACGACCAGCCACACUGGGACUGAGACACGGCCCAGACUCCGACGGGAGGCAGCAGUGGGGAAUUUUGGACAAUGGGCGAAAGCCUGAUCCAGCAAUGCCGCGUGCAGGAAGAAGGCCUUCGGGUUGUAAACUGCUUUUGUACGGAACGAAAUAGCUCUGGUUAAUACCGGAGUUGAUGACGGUACCGUAAGAAUAAGCACCGGCUAACUACGUGCCAGCAGCCGCGGUAA